rnacentral:misc_RNA from 1 species
AAGGAGCACUUCUUGACUGCCGGCCCUCGGGCUUGGUGGUCCAGAGGCCAGUUCAUCAGCGAACGUCUGAUGCUGGUUGCUCAUGGGUGGAACGUUGACUAUUCGGCACAGUGGAUUCGAUGGUUUUGCUAGUACUGCUUCGGCGUGGAACGCAAGGUCAUGGGUCGGCUGGGCCGGGCACGCUGUUGGGUGUCUGAGGGAGCGGCCACGAUGUGGCUGUUUCUUCGGUUGCCGGCCCCAGUGAACUCGGGAUGUUUGGUCUCGGGGUGGUGGGUGGUUGGUCGUUG